rnacentral:rRNA from 1 species
CCCUUAGAUGUUCUGGGCCGCACGCGCGCUACACUGAUGCAUUCAACGAGUCUAAAACCUGCUCUGAUAGGGGUGGGUAAUCUUUUGAAUGUGCAUCGUGAUUGGGAUAGAUGAUUGCAAUUUUUCAUCUUCAACGAGGAAUGCCUAGUAAACGCAAGUCAUCAGCUUGCAUUGAUUACGUCCCUGCCCUUUGUACACAUCGCCCGUCGCUCCUACCGAUUGAAUGAUCCGAUGAAUAUCAUGGAUUGAGGAUGCAAGUAGGUUAGCCUAUCUUCAUCUUCGAGAAGUGAAGUAAAUCUUAUCAUUUAGAGGAAGGAGAAGUCGUAACA